UGCCUUGAAAACCUGCGGCUUAACCGUGGGCGUGCGGUGGAUACGGGCACACUUGAGUUCGGUAGGGGAGACUGGAAUUCCUGGUGUAGCGGUGGAAUGCGCAGAUAUCAGGAGGAACACCAGUGGCGAAGGCGGGUCUCUGGGCCGAAACUGACGCUGAGGAUGCUAAAGCGUGGGGAGCGAACACGGAUU
rnacentral:rRNA from 1 species